AACGAACGCUGGCGGCAUGCCUAACACAUGCAAGUCGAACGAGACCUUCGGGUCUAUUCGCGCACGGGUGCGUAACGCGUGGGAAGCUGCCCAUGUGGUCGGGAUAACAGUUGGAAACGACUGCUAAUACCGGAUGAUGACUUCUGUCCAAAGAGUUAUCGCACAGGGAUGGGCCAGAGUCGGAUUCGCUAGUUGUGUAGGUAAGAGCUCACCAAGGCGAGGAUCCGUAGCUGGUAUGAGAGAAAGAUCAGCCACACUGAGACUGAGAAACGGCCCAGAAUCCUACGGGAGGCAGCAGUGGGGAAUAUUGGAAAAUGGGCGAAAGCAUGAUCCAGCAAUGCCGCGAGAGUGAUGAAGGCCUUAGGGUUGUAAAGCGCUUUUACCCGGGAUGAUAAUGACGGUACCGGGAGAAUAAGCCCCGGCUAACUCCGUG
rnacentral:rRNA from 1 species